rnacentral:rRNA from 1 species
UACGAAGGGUGCAAGCGUUACUCGGAAUCACUGGGCGUAAAGCGUGCGUAGGCGGUUCGUUAAGUCUGCUGUGAAAGCCCUGGGCUCAACCUGGGAACUGCAGUGGAUACUGGCGGACUAGAGUGUGAUAGAGGAUGGUGGAAUUCCCGGUGUAGCGGUGAAAUGCGUAGAUAUCGGGGAGGAACACCUGUGGCGAAAGCAGCUCACUGGACCACAACUGACGCUGAGGCGCGACAGCGUGGGGGAGCAAACAGG